rnacentral:rRNA from 1 species
GCCGGUGAUUAUUGCGAAAGUGUUACACCCGAUCCCAUUCCGAACUCGGAAGUUAAGCCUUUCAGCGCCGAUGGUACUUUGUCUUAAGA